GUUAAACUAAAUAAACACGUUAACAAUUUGAGGCUCGGUUAAUAAUAGCUGUAUUGUUGCCAAACCGUUAGCCAGAAUAUUGUACACCGUUACCGUUACAGCAACCAGCUAGCCAAUAUGGCUGGUACUCAACCUAACAAGCAUCCAGUGAUGUUAAACGAAACAUUAACAGACAGAGCAACGCUAGCUAGCUACCUUAUGGAGCUGAUGCCCACGUUGACCAAAGGGAAGCAACUUUCCAGCUGUGACUCUACAGCAGUCAGGCUUUUAUUUUUAAGGGAAGAAAAAAAAAAAAAAAAACAAA